GAUGAACGCUGGCGAGAUGCUUUACACAUGCAAGUCAUACGAGAGUUUUUAACUCAAGUGGCGGACGGGUGAGUAACACGUAAGAAUUUACCUUUAGGAGGGGGAUAACAACGAGAAAUUGUUGCUAAUACCCCAUAUGCUUUCGAGUGAAAUGGAUUUUUCCGCCUAGAGAGAAGCUUGCGCCUGAUUAGCUUGUGUAAGGUAAUGGCUUACCAAGGCGACGAUCAGUAUCUGGUUUGAGAGGAUGAUCAGACACACUGGAACUGAGACACGGUCCAGACUCCUACGGGAGGCAGCAGUGGGAAUUUUCCGCAAUGGGCGAAAGCCUGACGGAGCAAGACCGCGUGGGGAGGAAGGUUUUUGGAUCGUAAACCCCUUUGUCAAGGAAGAAGCUCUGACGGUACUUGACGAAUAAGCCUCGGCUAACUCCGUGCCAG
rnacentral:rRNA from 1 species